rnacentral:tRNA from 1 species
ACCUUGGUAGUAAAAUGGAGAAGUACGACAGAACUGAUAUACGAGUUGUGCGGGUUCGAGUCCCGCCUGAGGUU